rnacentral:rRNA from 1 species
AACGAACGCUGGCGGCAUGCCUAACACAUGCAAGUCGAACGAGACCUUCGGGUCUAGUGGCGCACGGGUGCGUAACGCGUGGGAACCUGCCCUUAGGUUCGGAAUAACUCCCCGAAAGGGGUGCUAAUACCGGAUAAUGUCUUCGGACCAAAGAUUUAUCGCCUUUGGAUGGGCCCGCGUUGGAUUAGCUAGUUGGUAGGGUAAAAGCCUACCAAGGCGACGAUCCAUAGCUGGUCUGAGAGGAUGAUCAGCCACACUGGGACUGAGACACGGCCCAGACUCCUACGGGAGGCAGCAGUGGGGAAUAUUGGACAAUGGGCGAAAGCCUGAUCCAGCAAUGCCGCGUGAGUGAUGAAGGCCUGAGGGUUGUAAAGCUCUUUUACCCGGGAUGAUAAUGACAGUACCGGGAGAAUAAGCACCGGCUAACUCCGUG